UCCCUACGUUCGGAUUGUAGGCUGAAACUACGCCUACAUGAAGCUGGAAUUGCUAGUAAUCACAGGUCAGCAUACUGUGGUGAAUACGUUCCCGGGCCUUGUACACACCGCCCGUCACACCAUGAGAGUUGAGAAUACCCGAAGCCCAUGUCAAAGUGGUCGAAGGUAGGCUUGAUGAUUGGGGUGAAGUCGUAACAAGGUACC
rnacentral:rRNA from 1 species